CCAAACAACAACUCCUAAUCUCUGGAGGUAGGAAAGGUUACAUCUGUAUUUUUGACAUCAGACAGAGGCAGCUAAUGCACACCUUCCAGGCACAUGACUCAGCUAUUAAGGCUUUGGCUCUGGAUUCCUGUGAGGAGUACUUCACUACAGGUUCAGCAGAAGGCAAUAUAAAAGUAUGGAGACUGACAGGUCACGGCCUGAUUCAUUCCUUUAAGAGUGAACACGCUAAGCAGUCCAUAUUUCGGAACAUCGGAGCUGGAGUCAUGCAGAUUGAGAUCAGCCAGGACAAUCGACUGUUCUCCUGUGGUGCAGAUGGCACGCUGAAAACCAGGGUUCUGCCCAGUGCUUUUAACAUCCCUAAUAGAAUUCUUGACAUUCUGUAGUCUGAGCGCUUGGGGGUUUAUUUUAUAUACCUCUCAGUUAAAAGGUGUAAUGUAGGAGUUAGGCAGUUCUGCUUUCCAAUACAGUCAACACCUUGAAAUAACAGAAUCUCUGGAAUUUGACUCUGAUGCAAGCUGGGUUUUACUCAAGUAUACUUGGGUGUUGCCUACCCAGGUUGGUAGAGUGCAUGUACCUUGUCAUUAUGUUGGCGUAUUAAAAAACAAAACAAAACAAACCCCUACCUUGUAUUGUAUGAAGGGAAGCUAUUCUUCACAUCAUGUAACACCUGAUUCAGAAACACUUGCGGUUAGCUGACGGUAAGUUACAAUAAUGAGCAGGGCCUUUUUACCAAAUUGAGGAAGAGAACAUUGCUGAUUCAGGCUUUUCUUCCUGUUCUCAUCAUGGAAGGAGCAUGCUGCUGUGUCUCGUUGAGUAAAGGACAGUCCCGGGUGUUAGACGCAUUAGACCACCAGAAACACUUCCUACCUGUGGAGCAGGCCCAGCCACUCUCACGUCCUGCUGAGUGUGUUCUCCUGUUAGUGUUUAUACUGAGCUAGUACUGUGACUUGCAAAUGAGUGCAAAUUUAAAUGCAAUGUUUCCCUCACAAUUUGCACAUUGACAUUUUUGGACUGCUAGUUUUUCUAUUAAGGUAUUUGCCUUUAUGUCAGGAAUGUCAUAUGUUAGACAUGGUGUAUUUGCAGUUAAGUAAAACAUACCUUCCCAGUCUAGUUUAGUACUUUUCUUUUUAUGUAUUUAAAGUUAAUAAGGCACAUGUAAAGCUAUGUGGAAACGACACCAGUAGAACAUUUCCUAUCAAUUAAAUGAAUGUUAGGCUCUUUGUGGCCAGUUGGUGAGAUCGGUGAGAUUAUUUAUUGCCACAGCCGAUUGUAUAAACUAUGCAGAGUUAAAUAUUAUUUGCUUGUAAAAUAUUAGCCAGUGUCAUAUUUUGAUGUAUUUCCUUCGUUAUGACCAAAAAUAUGUUGCAAUAUUGAAACCAGUGUCUGUGUAUGUUUAAGUGUUUACCAGCAAAUUGUCUCAUCAUGUAAUGAGAAUGUUUAAUGCCCAUGUGGUAAACAGUAAAACAUAAUGGUAUAAAAGCACCUUUCUCUGAAGGCAGUGUGGUACUCAUGCUGUGAAAUACACAUGUAAAAGAAAUGUUACUUGUUAGAGUUUUAUUUUAGUUUGGCCUAUUUAAGUAGACUGGUCUGGCAUUAUUUGACACUGUUUUUAAGAGUUAAUUUUAAUAAAAUAAUUAACUAUUAGAGAAAAUUU
rnacentral:lncRNA from 1 species